rnacentral:lncRNA from 1 species
GUCCCGGAUGCUAGUCGGCUGGCAGAAUAAAAGGCUGUUGGGAACUGUGGGGCGUUCCUGGCGUUAGUCUUAGUGACCGAUGGCUUUGAUAGUCUUAUUUGUUUUUGAAACAGGGUCUCGCAGUUAAAGCUGGCCUUUGAACUCGCGGCCAUCCUCUUGCCAGCCUCAGACGCUCCAGCGCUGGGAUUACUGGCGUGCCCCACCGAGCGCGGCGGCAUAAGCAGUUUUGAAGGAACCUAUCUGCAUCUAACGGGCUGCUGGUCUGACAGCCGCACAGAGGUUGCACUCAUUAGGAACUAGGUAAUUCAGAAUAUUGUAGGUGCCGCCCCUGUGGAGAACGGAUGCAAUAACACCACACCUUCUAGUCCAGACCUUUUCCUCUACUGGUCAACGCAUUCCACCUGUUAAAGGUCAUUUGCGAAAGAUCUCAUAUGCCACAAAAUGACGUUUCAAUCAAUGAAGAGCCACUUACAUCACCUAGUGACACUGUAGCCCUCUCUGUUUUUGACAUCUGGAAGCUAACCCACAUUUCUGGAGACCCCGAGAGAUAUUACGUCUUCUGGAACUGUAUCAGUGCCUUUAGACUGCCAUUUGAGACAUAUCAGCUGUGAUUCUACCCUUUGUGAAUUGAAGUGGCAUUGGCCACCUGGGGCUCUGUUUCAGUGAACACCCCUUUUUUCAUUGUGGACAAUUCCAGCCCUGUUUGUGUGUUCCCUUGGAGGGGCUGAUCUCCCAGAUCAUUUGGACAAAUUUUUCCAUGGAUGUAGUAUUUGGUUUAUUACUAACACUCAGUGCUUCACUGAUUGUCUUUUACUUAUUUUUGCCUAUAUUGCUAUUUUUGUUUGUUCUGCUUUUGUGUACAUUGCAGUAAACUACUUAAUUCUGGAACUAUCUUUGUUUCACUUGACUUGUCAUUUGAUGAGAAAAUAAAGAACCUUAAUCUUGUGGAGGAAUUAUAAUCUUCAAGGUAAAAAGUGGUCCAGCACAACACACCUCAGUCUGAUCGAUUGAUUGGAAUUUGAAUGACUUAUUAAAAUACAUUCAAAAGUAUGUCAGGUAGUUUUUGGUGUUUAAAUUUUUUUGAGUACAUGUUUGCAGUACAUAGUGAUUACAUUCAUUGUGGGGAGUUGAUACAUGUACAAGACACAUAUUAAUUCUUUUUACUUUCCCUUCCCCUACCUCUCCCUUUCUCGUUCACCUUAUUUAAAAUUUUAAAUUUCUACAGAGGCAUGACAAUUCUUAAAAAUAAUUUAUUCUAUUGCACAACGUUCACAUUAGGAAGGCAGGUGAAUUAUCAGAAGCCCAAAUACACACUAUCGGGGGGUUUACAGAGUACUGACAAUGUGAAGACUAGCAAUCCCUUGCAUCAGCAUUAAAUUGCUCGUGGUCAUAUGGGGACCAUCCUCUUCCUCACCUUUUCUUCUCUAGCUCAGUCUAGAACUCAGCACACCAAAAGCAACCGAGGAAGAGAAGAUGCACCUGCUGUGAUCAGCUUUAGCUGCAAGGCAGAAGAGCCUCUGGUGCCAAUUUCAAGAGAAAAUUAAAAUCAGUUUGAAUACCA